rnacentral:rRNA from 1 species
UACGUAGGGUGCGAGCGUUAAUCGGAAUUACUGGGCGUAAAGCGUGCGCAGGCGGUUCGGUAAGUCAGCUGUGAAAGCCCCGGGCUCAACCUGGGAACUGCGGUUGAAACUGGCGAACUAGAAUCUGGCAGAGGGGGGUGGAAUUCCACGUGUAGCAGUGAAAUGCGUAGAUAUGCGGAGGAACACCGAUGGCGAAGGCAAUCCCCUGGACCUGUACUGACGCUCAUGCACGAAAGCGUGGGGAGCAAACAGG